AAGAACCACACACGCGCCCCCACGCGCCGCCAACACCUUCGGCGCGUGAGCCCACGCGCCGGAGCGUGGCACCACUUCCGGCCAUUUUUUCCGGUGACUCCUUCAGGAAAGUUUGCUCGCCCUUCAAUUCCGACCCUACCCAUCCUUUUUUCGUUCGAUUCCGACAGCUUUGAGUUUUUUCCGGCGACUUUAUUGACUUUUCCGGCAGCUAUAGUACUUUCCGGCCAGAAUUUCU
rnacentral:lncRNA from 1 species